rnacentral:rRNA from 1 species
CCUACGGGUGGCAGCAGUGGGGGAUAUUGCACAAUGGGGGGAACCCUGAUGCAGCGACGCCGCGUGGGUGAAGAAGCGCCUCGGCGCGUACAGCCCUGUCAGCAGGGAAGAAAAUGACGGUACCUGAAGAAGAAGCCCCGGCUAACUACGUGCCAGCAGCCGCGGUAAGACGUAGGGGGCAAGCGUUAUCCGGAUUUACUGGGUGGAAAGGGGGCGCAGACGGCGAUGCAAGCCAGGAGUGAAAGCCCGGGGCCCAACCCCGGGACUGCUCGUGGACCUGCGUGGCUGGAGUGCAGGAGGGGCAGGCGGAAUUCCUGGGGUAGCGGUGAAAUGCGUAGAUAUCAGGAGGAACACCGGUGGCGAAGGCGGCCUGCUGGACUGCAACUGACGUUGAGGCCCGAAAGCGUGGGGAGCAAACAGGAUUAGAUACCCCAGUAGUC